rnacentral:rRNA from 1 species
CCUACGGGUGGCAGCAGUGAGGAAUAUUGGUCAAUGGACGAGAGUCUGAACCAGCCAAGUAGCGUGAAGGAUGACUGCCAUAUGGGUUGUAAACUUCUUUUAUAUGGGAAUAAAAUGUUCCACGUGUGGGAUUUUGUAUGUACCAUAUGAAUAAGGAUCGGCUAACUCCGUGCCAGCAGCCGCGGUAAUACGGAGGAUCCGAGCGUUAUCCGGAUUUAUUGGGUUUAAAGGGAGCGUAGGUGGAUUGUUAAGUCAGUUGUGAAAGUUUGCGGCUCAACCGUAAAAUUGCAGUUGAAACUGGCAGUCUUGAGUACAGUAGAGGUGGGCGGAAUUCGUGGUGUAGCGGUGAAAUGCUGAGAUAUCACGAAGAACUCCGAUUGCGAAGGCAGUUCACUGGACUGCAACUGACACUGAGGCUCGAAAGUGUGGGUAUCAAACAGGAUUAGAUACCCGGGUAGUC